UCACCUCCCGGGCAACAUAAAAUCCCUCUAUAAAAGGGAGCCUGGGAGGAAAGAAGGGGGGACCGAAACACAAGCAAACAGCACAGACACAAUUAAGCACAAUAUCCUCUUCAUCUUCUUCACUCUCUGGCUUGCUCUCUCCACAUAUUUGCCCCCUCUGACUUAAGCAUCGGAGGGCCGGCGCCGGGGAGCCCGGCCACCGGCUUUUUUGCAGGACGGGACAGGACAGGACGCACUCUCCUCUCCGCUCUCUUACACUCCCCAGGANNNNNNNNNNNNNNNNNNNNGGCUUGCUCUCUCCACAUAUUUGCCCCCUCUGACUUAAGCAUCGGAGGGCCGGCGCCGGGGAGCCCGGCCACCGGCUUUUUUGCAGGACGGGACAGGACAGGACGCACUCUCCUCUCCGCUCUCUUACACUCCCCAGGAGGGCACAGGAGGACGCAGCCGGCCGGCGCACCGCCGUCCGCCCUCCCCGCGGCGGAGCUCCUCCUUCCCCGGCUUCGCGGCGGCCCCCGGGUCCAAUUUCCAGCAACA
rnacentral:lncRNA from 1 species